rnacentral:rRNA from 1 species
UGGAUUAGGCAUGCAAGUCGAACGAAUCCCAGCUUUGUAGCAAUACCGAGCUGGGGGAAGUGGCGAAAGGGGCAGUAAUACAUGGGCAACCUACCCUGGGGACGGGGAUAGCCUUCCUAACGGAUGGGUAAUACCUGGCGAUUUGGUCGAGGGGCAUCUCUUGACCAGGAAAUGAAUUUCGCCUCGGGAGGGGCUCAUGCGAUAUUAGCUAGUUGGUGGGGUAACGGCCCACCAAGGCAAAGAUGUCUAGCGGGUGUGAGAGCACGACCCGCGCCACUGGCACUGAGACACUGGCCAGACACCUACGGGUGGCUGCAGUCGAGGAUCUUCGGCAAUGGGCGCAAGCCUGACCGAGCGACGCCGCGUGGACGAUGAAGGCCUUCGGGUUGUAAAGUCCUGUCGAGGGGGAUAAAGGCGCAAGCUUGAUAUAUCCCUGGAGGAAGCACGGGCUAAGUUCGUGCCAGCAGCCGCGGUAAGACGAACCGUGCAAACGUUGUUCGGAAUCACUGGGCUCAAAGGGCGCGUAGGCGGCUUGCAUAGUCGGUGGUGAAAUCCUGCAGCUUAACUGUAGAAGUGCCUCCGAUACUAGCAGGCUCGAGGGAGGUAGGGGUCUGUGGAACUUCUGGUGGAGCGGUGAAAUGCGUUGAUAUCAGAAGGAACGCCGGUGGCGAAAGCGACGGACUGGAUCUCUUCUGACGCUGAGGCGCGAAAGCUAGGGGAGCAAACGGG